GUGGGGAAUAUUGGACAAUGGGCGAAAGCCUGACCCAGCAACGCCGCGUGAAGGAAGAAGGUCUUCGGAUCGUAAACUUCUAUCCUUGGUGAAGAUAAUGACGGUAGCCGAGAAGGAAGCCCCGGCUAACUACGUGCCAGCAGCCGCGGUAAUACGUAGGGGGCAAGCGUUGUCCGGAAUGAUUGGGCGUAAAGGGCGCGUAGGCGGCCCGGUAAGUCUGAAGUGAAAGUCCUGCUUUUAAGGUGGGAAUUGCUUUGGAUACUGUCGGGCUUGAGUGCAGGAGAGGUAAGCGGAAUUCCCGGUGUAGCGGUGAAAUGCGUAGAGAUCGGGAGGAACACCAGUGGCGAAGGCGGCUUACUGGACUGUAACUGACGCUGAGGCGCGAAAGUGUGGGGAGCAAACAGGAUUAGAAACCCGGGUAGUCC
rnacentral:rRNA from 1 species